rnacentral:rRNA from 1 species
ACGGCCAUACCAUGCUGAAUAUACCGGUUACCGUUAGAUCACAGAAGUUAAGCAUCAUUGGGCGCACUCAGUACUGGGGUGGGUAACCACCUGCGAACACCGCGUGCCGUUG